AGAAGCUUAGGAUAACAUCUAAACCAAGGACCUUCAAAGCCCAAAAUAGAGAAGAAAAUACUCUAGCUUCUG
rnacentral:tRNA from 1 species